rnacentral:lncRNA from 10 species
CAAAUCACAAGAAGCUUUCAGGUCUGGAGGCUGACAUUUCUCAAGACAGAUGCAAAAACCCAGGCCCAGAGAGAUGAAGAAACCUGGCUAAGCUCCUUGAAGCUAGAAAUGGCCUACCUGUAGAAUCUGUCUUCACUUCAAAGUCAGUGGAGUGCACAGUUUUAUUGUCGUGUUGAACUGAACAUGUCACUGAAUUUGAAUCUUCAUAUUUACCAAGCUUGACAGCAUUGUACUUCCCACUGGGAGAGAUGACAAUAGCAGGAUCAAACUCUGUUAUCUUCUUGGAUGACACGAGAUUUAUUCUUAUAUCCUUGGGGUAGAAUUCCUUCACCAGACAAGCGACAUUUGUUCCAUUUUUCAUGACAAAAACGGAUGGUUUGGUAUGAGGCUGACUUCCUGCAAAUAUAAUCAACUUAUUAG